rnacentral:rRNA from 1 species
GACGAACGCUGGCGGCGUGCUUAACACAUGCAAGUCGAACGGAAAGUCCCUGCUUUUGUGGGGUGCUCGAGUGGCGAACGGGUGAGUAACACGUGAGUAACCUGCCCUUGACUUUGGGAUAACUUCAGGAAACUGGGGCUAAUACCGGAUAGGAGCUCCUGCUGCAUGGUGGGGGUUGGAAAGUUUAGGCGGUUGGGGAUGGACUCGCGGCUUAUCAGCUUGGUGGUGGGGUAGUGGCUUACCAAGGCUUUGACGGGUAGCAAGCAUGAGAGGGUGACCGGGCACAAUGGGACUAAGAUACGGCACAGAAUCCUACGGGAGGCAGAAGUGGUGUAUAUUGCACAAUGGGCGGAAGCCUGAUGCAGCAACGCCGCGGGCGGAAUGAAGGCCUUCGGGUUGUAAACCGCUUGCGCCUGUGACGAAGCGUGAGUGACGGUAAUGGGUAAAGAAGCACCGGCUAACUACGUG